UACGGAGGGUGCGAGCGUUGUUCGGAAUCACUGGGCGUAAAGGGCGUGUAGGCGGUCCGCUAAGUCUGAUGUGAAAGCCCGGGGCUCACCCCCGGAAGUGCAUUGGAAACUGGCGGACUCGAGUCCCGGAGAGGAGAGUGGAAUUCCUGGUGUAGCGGUGAAAUGCGCAGAUAUCGGGAAGAACACCCGUGGCGAAGGCGGCUCUCUGGGACGGUACUGACGCUGAGACGCGAAAGCGUGGGGAGCGAACAGG
rnacentral:rRNA from 1 species